rnacentral:rRNA from 1 species
CACGUAGGGUGCGAGCGUUGUCCGGAAUUAUUGGGCGUAAAGAGCUCGUAGGCGGUGUGUCGCGUCGGCCGUGAAAUCUCCACGCUUAACGUGGAGCGUGCGGUCGAUACGGGCAGACUUGAGUUCGGUAGGGGAGACUGGAAUUCCUGGUGUAGCGGUGAAAUGCGCAGAUAUCAGGAGGAACACCGGUGGCGAAGGCGGGUCUCUGGGCCGAUACUGACGCUGAGGAGCGAAAGCGUGGGGAGCGAACAGG